AAUCCCAACCGUUGACUUCAUCAGCGAGAUCAAUCCGACCGCAAUCGGACUCUUAGAGUUUUCUCCAAAUAUCUCUCCGGCGAAAGUACUGUACAUCGAAACCGAACACUUUACCCAGGAAUUCGGCUUCUGGAUUGGGCGCCGGUAUCCUGAUCGGAAGUCGCGCGUCCGCGGUGCAGGAGGUUCGAGAUCCGCGUUUUGCACGGGAGGAGAACCGAAUAUGCGUGAACGAACCCAACACUCGCGGAGGGGGCGGCAAUUUCCAACCCGGAUGCCGGCGCAGGUAGCAAUGUUAUGGGCGACAUAACCAGAGUAGGAGAAGGUAACACGAAUAGCCAUAUCAGCAA
rnacentral:misc_RNA from 1 species